AUGAACGCUGGCGGCGUGCCUAAUACCUGCAAGUCGAGCGCACGGACGAGAAGCUUGCUUCUCUGAUGUUAGCGGCGGACGGGUGAGUAACACGUGGAUAACCUACCUAUAAGACUGGGAUAACUUCGGGAAACCGGAGCUAAUACCGGAUAAUAUUUUGAACCGCAUGGUUCAAAAGUGAAAGACGGUCUUGCUGUCACUUAUAGAUGGAUCCGCGCUGCAUUAGCUAGUUGGUAAGGUAACGGCUUACCAAGGCAACGAUGCAUAGCCGACCUGAGAGGGUGAUCGGCCACACGGGAACUGAGACACGGUCCAGACUCCUACGGGAGGCAGCAGUAGGGAAUCUUCCGCAAUGGGCGAAAGCCUGACGGAGCAACGCCGCGUGAGUGAUGAAGGUCUUCGGAUCGUAAAACUCUGUUAUUAGGGAAGAACAUAUGUGUAAGUAACUGUGCACAUCUUGACGGUACCUAAUCAGAAAGCCACGGCUAACUACGUG
rnacentral:rRNA from 1 species